rnacentral:lncRNA from 1 species
CUUUUCACCUUGGGAAGGAGGUCUCUUUACUUUUUAUUUGAAAAGGAAUUGUUUUUAUUGUUUUCCUAAAGCUGGAGAGUGAAGGAAGCCAUCCUUGAGGAGUCAAGAUAAACUUCGGAUGUAAGUUCUGCCGUUUGUAGUGGCCUGGGCUCCCUCUGGGUGGAAUGUUUCACCAGGCAUUGUGAGAAGAGGAGAGCGGGAUUCUGACCCAGGCGCUGCUGCUGGAGGCUCUGUGACACCCGCACAUCAUCACUUAACAUGCAAGGGCUGUCCAUGGUCACUGUCUCUUUACAGUCUGAACGGUCACUGGGUCACAGAAUUCCACCGGGAACGGGAAGAGCCUCUGGAGCAGCGCCCACAGUCCUGCCUUCUGUGCUUGGGAGUUUUCAAAGUGAGUUCUGGGAAAUGUUAGGCCAUGUAUAAAAGAAGAGGUGGUCUUAAGAAAGGCCAUGGUACCCGUGGCUGGAGGUCCUGGACACAGCCUCUCCCUCAUCUCAUCCAUGGAGAAAGUUCCCUAUAUUAGUUUGUUCUCACAUUGCUAUAAAGAACUACCCAA